GCAAAACAGUAUAUGCCCUUCUCAUACUCAAGACAUGUUCUCCAAUCCUGUUUCAGUGACCUUCUUGGUGAUCGGUGUCUUCGUUUUCAUCAUGGGAGACUUUGUUUUCUAUUUUCUCAUUAACGUGGUGAUUCAACAGUGUAGACAGAGAAGAGCACUCCAUGGUAGAGAACAGCAGGAUCAUGAAGAGCUGAUGAAGGCGAGACUCCUGAAUGAGGAAGAGGAGGCUGGAAGUCUGGUUGCUGAGUUCAGAGACCCUAGGACAUCACGGAAGGAACCAGUGUGGCUGUGUUGAAACCGUCUAUGCUAUUGUCCAGGCUAGGGUUCUAAGACCACCACAGUGGUGACCAGAUGGGUCAGCACUGCAUUGUGUCCUCUUUUCCCACAAGGUGUCCCAUAAUAAACACUGUUCUCACCC